ACUACGGGAGGCUGCAGUGGGGGAUAUUGCACAAUGGGGGGAACCCUGAUGCAGCGACGCCGCGUGGGUGAAGAAGCGCCUCGGCGCGUAAAGCCCUGUCAGCAGGGAAGAAAAUGACGGUACCUGAAGAAGAAGCCCCGGCUAACUACGUGCCAGCAGCCGCGGUAAUACGUAGGGGGCAAGCGUUAUCCGGAUUUACUGGGGGUAAAGGGGGCGCAGACGGCGAUGCAAGCCAGGAGUGAAAGCCCGGGGCCCAACCCCGGGACUGCUCUUGGAACUGCCUGGCUGGAGUGCAGGAGGGGCAGGCGGAAUUCCUGGUGUAGCGGUGAAAUGCGUAGAUAUCAGGAGGAACACCGGUGGCGAAGGCGGCCUGCUGGACUGCAACUGACGUUGAGGCCCGAAAGCGUGGGGAGCAAACAGGAUUAGAUACCCGAGUAGUC
rnacentral:rRNA from 1 species